rnacentral:rRNA from 1 species
UUAGCCGGUGCUUAUUCUGCCGGUAACGUCAAAACAGCAACGUAUUAACUUACUAGCCCUUCCUCCCAACUUAAAGUGCUUUACAAUCCGAAGACCUUCUUCACACACGCGGCAUGGCUGGAUCAGGCUUUCGCCCAUUGUCCAAUAUUCCCCACUGCUGCCUCCCCGUAGGUA